rnacentral:misc_RNA from 1 species
UCCUGGUUUCCCAGGCAGUCCCAUCAGAGUGCUCUACAAAGUAGUUAGCAACUGACAGCAAGGGUUGCGCUCGUUAGAGGACUUAACCUAACAUCUCACGACACGAGCUGACGACAGCCAUGCAGCACCUGUGCAUCUGUCUAAACCGAAGUCUAGAAAACCGUAUCUCUACGGCGAUCAGAGCAUGUCAAGUCCAGGUAAGGUUCCUCGCGUAGUGUCGAAUUAAACCACAUGUUCCACCGCUUGUGCGGACCCCCGUCAAUUCCUUUGAGUUUUAAUCUUGCGAUCGUAGUCCCCAGGCGAAUCACUUAACGCGUUAGCUUCGAUACUAAUCCAGCUUGGCCGGACUAACAUCUAGUGAUUAGCGUUUACAGCGUGGACUAC